rnacentral:rRNA from 1 species
AUUGAACGCUGGCGGCAUGCCUUACACAUGCAAGUCAAACGGCAGCACGGGGGCAAUCCUGGUGGCGAGUGGCGAACGGGUGAGUAAUAUAUCGGAACGUGCCCAGUCGUGGGGGAUAACGCCGCGAAAGCUGUGCUAAUACCGCAUACGAUCUACGGAUGAAAGCGGGGGAUCGCAAGACCUCGCGCGAUUGGAGCGGCCGAUAUCAGAUUAGCUAGUUGGUGGGGUAAAGGCCUACCAAGGCGACGAUCUGUAGCUGGUCUGAGAGGACGACCAGCCACACUGGAACUGAGACACGGUCCAGGCUCCUACGGGAGGCAGCAGUGGGGAAUUUUGGACAAUGGGCGCAAGCCUGAUCCAGCAAUGCCGCGUGCAGGAUGAAGGCCUUCGGGUUGUAAACUGCGUUUGUACGGAACGAAACGGUGAGCUCUAAUACAGUUUGCUAAUGACGGUACCGUAAGAAUAAGCACCGGCUAACUACGUGCCAGCAGCCGCCGUAACAC